AGCGAACGCUGGCGGCAGGCCUAACACAUGCAAGUCGAACGAACCUUUCGGGGUUAGUGGCGGACGGGUGAGUAACACGUGGGAACGUGCCUUUAGGUUCGGAAUAACUCAGGGAAACUUGUGCUAAUACCGAAUGUGCCCUUCGGGGGAAAGGUUUAUCGCCUUUAGAGCGGCCCGCGUCUGAUUAGCUAGUUGGUUGAGGUAAUGGCUCACCAAGGCGACGAUCAGUAGCUGGUCUGAGAGGAUGAUCAGCCACAUUGGGACUGAGACACGGCCCAAACUCCUACGGGAGGCAGCAGUGGGGAAUCUUGCGCAAUGGGCGAAAGCCUGACGCAGCCAUGCCGCGUGAAUGAUGAAGGUCUUAGGAUUGUAAAAUUCUUUCACCGGGGACGAUAAUGACGGUACCCGGAGAAGAAGCCCCGGCUAACUUCGUG
rnacentral:rRNA from 1 species